AACGUCCAAAAGAAAACCCCUGCAUGAUAACAGAAACCUAAAUAAUUAAUGUUGCGAGAAGACUAGCAUCUCAGUCUGCCUGUAUACAUGGAAUUAGCUAUUAGCCUGUUAAUGAUUAACCUCAAACCCGACUAACAUUAACUUUAGUAUCCACGUUAGCCACACACACACACACACACACACACACACCAAUCCUCAUAUAGAACUAUAAUUAUACACUUUACAUAAGAAUAAUCUGUCACCCCAGAGGGCCCCACGAGCACACUCUUGAUAAUGGAGCAAGGUAAGUAGGGAGUUAGCCAGCAACGAGAAGCAGUUAGCGGUUAUUAGAGAUACCUCAUGACCUCGUGACCUCUAUUCAAGGCAAAACAUGCUGAGACUAGACAACCCUCCUAUUUGGUCAAACAGCAGCACUCUCACUCUCCAGAGCUGCCUUCCACCCACCUCAACAAAUAAACAACAAACAAACAAACAAAAACAAACAAACAAACAAAAAGAAACAAACAAACAAAAAAACAAACAAAAAUACAAAAAAGAAAGAAACAAAAAACAAACAAAAAAAGAAACAAAAAACAAACAAAGAAACAAACAAACAAAAACAAACAAAAAAAGAAAGAAACAAACACCAGAGGUCCAGUGAGCUGGGGGUUCUGUCUCUGUAUCCAGUGUAUUGUGGUGCACCUGUGAUGCCUUGACAUCCUCCGAAUGAGACCAGUACCAUGUGUCUGUCUGGCCCUGCAGCCGCGCGGGUUAGCAUGUUAGCAUGUGGGUGUGUGAGCGUGUGGGUGUGUAGGCAUGUUGUUGUGUGGGUGAGGAGGUGAGGACGUGAGGAAGCCUCCCCUCUGUGCAGUGGAGAUUUCUGGGAGAGGGGGGACACAGCGUCUCUUUGUGCUUGUGUGUGUGUGUGUGUGUGUGUGUGUGUGUGUUUGUGUGUGUGUGUGUGUGUGUGUGUGUGUGUGUGUGUGUGUCUUCCCAGCACUCAAAUAGAGAGCAGCAGCAGCUCAAUUACAGGCCUGGCCUCCGCCCCGCUCCACUCCACCCCACCCCCAGCCGUGAGGAACACAGUCCAGGCCUCUAGACCCCAGCCGUGAGGAACACACAGGAACACACAGGAACACAGAGGAACCCUGUCCUUAUGAUAUGACCCUACGACCCUGUCCUUAUGAUAUGACCCUACGACCCUGUC
ensembl:lncRNA